UCUCCGUUGGUGAACCAGCGGAGGGAUCAUUACCGAGUUUACAACUCCCAAACCCCCUGUGAACUUAUACCUUUACACCGUUGCUUCGGCGGGUCUUCGCCCCGGGCUCCAGGCCACGCUCCCCUGCCGCCCCCCCUCCCAGGGGGGUGGGCGGGGGGCGGGUCGUCCCGGAGCCAGGCGCCCGCCGGGGGACCCAAACUCUUGUAUCUUACACCUUUUGGCAUGUCUGAGUGGAAUCAUUACAGAAUGAAUCAAAACUUUCAACAACGGAUCUCUUGGUUCUG
rnacentral:misc_RNA from 1 species